rnacentral:lncRNA from 1 species
AAAUCAACACAGCUCUCUAGACAAAGCAAAAGUUAAGUUAGAAAGACUACAACAAUCAACUAACCUUGUGUAGUGAUGAGUCUAUAAACAUGGCCAAGAACAAGAGUAUCCGUAGGCUUGAGAAGCUUAAUUCUCGUAACCCGAAGAGAGUUGUUGUUGCUGUUGUUGUUGUUGGUGGUGGUGGUGGUGGUGGUGGUGGUGGUGGUGGUGGUGGAGGCGGCGUUGCUGGGGCAUUCAUCAUUCUUAUGAGUGGGAUACAAGGUGGUGGAGAGAAGAAGAGCCACAUAGUGACCAGGGUUCAUCUUCAUAAUCUCAGCAGCACUCACAGGCCAAUAGAACUUGUCAACUUUCCCACUUGGGUACUGUAUAAUAAGCGUCGCAGCAUCUACAGCUUGACAAUUCCCCAUUUCUCUUUCUUUUCUUACAGACAACUCAAGGAAGCAGGCAGAGAGAGAGAGGGAGAGGAU